UACGUAGGGGGCGAGCGUUGUCCGAAGUUACUGGGCGUAAAGCGCGCGUAGGCGGGGGAUUAAGUGAGAGGUGAAAGGCUGGGGCUCAACCUCAUGCAGUGCCUCUCAUACUGGUUCUCUUGAGGGCGGUAGGGAGAAGUGGAAUGGCUGGUGUAGCGGUGAAAUGCGUAGAUAUCAGUCGGAACACCGGUGGCGAAGGCGGGUUGCUGGGCUGACACUGACGCUGAGGCGCGAAAGCGUGGGGAGCAAACAGG
rnacentral:rRNA from 1 species